ACAAAAUUGCCAAGUGGAAUCACGUAGAUAUCGAGUUUAUAAGACUCGAGAUAUGCUGAAAUAUAACAGAUACACAGCUCUUUCAACGUCUCAUUUCAAAAUCUGAAUGUUCAAACACACACUCACUCACUCACACCCUUUCUCUCCGCCCUCUCAAACUCACUCACUCUCACUCACUCACUCUCACUCACUCACUCACUGAUUCAUUCAUAAAGCAAAUUCGUGGCCCUAAUUUGAAGCAAAUUCGUAGCCACUAUCACGAAGGUAGUCUCUCAAGCAAUCGGAGCUCAUUCUCAACGCCGUUCGUAGCCCGCCGUGCCGAAGAACUAACUAGGAAUUUGUUAGAGUAAAUAUUCAUACAUGCAGGCAGCAGUGUGUGCCUAUGUAUGUAUAUCCUUGGACCCCCAAGUGGACAGGUCAGAUGAAUAUAUCACCAACUAUGCUCAAAAUCCUUGCCCAGGUACUUCAAUUUAUGCAUCUCUUAAAUUUAAUCCCCCAUAUCAAUUGACUAGUUCAAUGUGUUUAUGUGGCAAAACCUCUUUAGCUAGAGAAAAUAUUGUCAGCAUGUUAGAACGGACAAUUUGGAGGACUUGGUAGUGGUGAAAUUUGGAAAGUAGUUCCCUUUUGUAUCAAAUGGUAUAUUUGGAGAGAGGAAUGUGAAGAAUUUUGAGGGACGUGCAUUUCCCUUGAUGCAGCUGAAAUUUCUAUUUUGUAUGUUCUCACUAUAAUUGAACAUCAUAUGCAAAUUACUUUUCCAUCUCAAAUUUGUGGGAGACGUUAGCUUUU